UAAUCUUAGAUAUAAGUAUUUAAGUAUUAAAUUCCUAUAUAUAAUAAAAGUAAAUAUAGGUAAAAGCUUGAAUAUAUUAUCAACUAAUCUUAAUAUUCCUAGAUAAAUUUGAAUAAAAAUAUAUAGAAUCAGAUUUAAAAGAAGGUAAACUAUAUAUAUAUAGGGUGAAGUUAGAAGAAACUCUAAUAGAAGCUUAUACUAAUUCUUAUACACAAAUUAAUUAUAAAAUAUAUAUAUAGGAGUAAAAGACUAAUUGAAUCUUUUAAUAAUUAA
rnacentral:ncRNA from 1 species